rnacentral:rRNA from 1 species
AUGAACGCUGGCGGCGUGCCUCAUCCCUGCCAGUCGAGCGAACAGACGAGGAGCUUGCUCCUCUGACGUUAGCGGCGGACGGGUGAGUAACACGUGGAUAACCUACCUAUAAGACUGGGAUAACUUCGGGAAACCGGAGCUAAUACCGGAUAAUAUAUUUAACCGCAUGGUUCAAUAGUGAAAGACGGUUUUGCUGUCACUUAUAGAUGGAUCCUCGCCUCAUUAGCUAGUUGGUAAGGUAACGGCUUACCAAGGCAACGAUGCGUAGCCGACCUGAGAGGGUGAUCGGCCACACUGGAACUGAGACACGGUCCAGACUCCUACGGGAGGCAGCAGUAGGGAAUCUUCCGCAAUGGGCGAAAGCCUGACGGAGCAACGCCGCGUGAGUGAUGAAGGUCUUCGGAUCGUAAAACUCUGUUAUUAGGGAAGAACAAAUGUGUAAGUAACUAUGCACGUCUUGACGGUACCUAAUCAGAAAGCCACGGCUAACUACGUG